GACGAACGCUGGCGGCGUGCUUAACACAUGCAAGUCGAACGGAAAGGCCCUGCUUUUGUGGGGUGCUCGAGUGGCGAACGGGUGAGUAACACGUGAGUAACCUGCCCUUGACUUUGGGAUAACUUCAGGAAACUGGGGCUAAUACCGGAUAGGAGCUCCUGCUGCAUGGUGGGGGUUGGAAAGUUUCGGCGGUUGGGGAUGGACUCGCGGCUUAUCAGCUUGUUGGUGGGGUAGUGGCUUACCAAGGCUUGGACGGGUAGCCGGCCUGAGAGGGUGACCGGCCACAUUGGGACUGAGAUACGGCCCAGACGCCUACGGGAGGCAGCAGUGGGGAAUAUUGCACAAUGGGCGGAAGCCUGAUGCAGCAACGCCGCGUGCGGGAUGACGGCCUUCGGGGUGUAAACCGCUUUCGCCUGUGACGAAGCGUGAGUGACGGUAAUGGGUAAAGAAGCACCGGCUAACUACGUG
rnacentral:rRNA from 1 species